rnacentral:tRNA from 1 species
GGGGCUUUAGCAUAAUGGUAGAGCACGCGCUUUGCAUGCGUAAGGUCAUCGGAUCAAUCCCGGUAAGCUCCA